rnacentral:rRNA from 1 species
AAACGACUCUCGGCAACGGAUAUCUCGGCUCUUGCAUCGAUGAAGAACGUAGCGAAAUGCGAUACUUGGUGUGAAUUGCAGAAUCCCGUGAACCAUCGAGUCUUUGAACGCAAGUUGCGCCCCACGCCUUCUGGCCGAGGGCACGUCUGCCUGGGUGUCAC